ensembl:lncRNA
CGAAAGCAAAACUGAAAAGCAAUCACACACACACAUACAGACAAACUAAUUUGCCCUAGGAACAUAGAGUAUAUUACCUUAAGCGAAACAAAGUGAGAAAUCUGUUGUAUAAACACUGUGCACUGAUGUUAAAGGGUUAGCUUUUAGAAACAGACCGGAGUGUCUGUCUCUGUCUUUUCCGUUUCUCAUAGUAACCGGUUCCAAACAGACGUUGCCUGUGUGACGGAGGAAGGUACGCUGAGGCUCACCAGUGUGUCUGCUGCAGUGAUUUGGGGCCGGUGGUGAGGGAGGCAUUCGUCAGAGUCCUGAGGUCUGGCCUGGAAGCAGCAGGGUCUGGGGGGCUUUAAGCCAGAUGGGAGCACACAGACUGGAACGGCGUGGGAGAAGACUGGGAGAAAAGGUUCAGGGACAACACGAAAAGUCUGAGACAACUUACAACCCAUUAGGCCCAGAGGGUACCAGCCACAUGAAUACCCAUGAAUAAAUGGCAUCUGAGCCAAACCCUCCCUCCCUCUCCCUCUCCCUCUCUCUCCCUCUCUCUCUGUCUCCCUCUCUCUCCCCUUACUCCCUUCUCCUCUCCUUCUUGUCCUCUCUACCUCCUCCUCCUCAUCUCUCUCAUUCUUUCUCCAAAUCUCAAUUAAUUCUGCCCCCCCAGCUCCCAUCUGCUCCCUCCACAUUUAUUUUCCCUUUUCUCUCUUUCACUCUCCCCUCUUUCCCUUUUC